GUGCUGGUUGUGCUGACCACAUUCGUGGUAUGUGCACGCCUGCCACUGUUUCAUUCAUAUUUCCACCUGUGCACUUUAUGUAGUCCAUUGUGUUGCUAUUGUCAGGCUUUUAUUGAGCUUGGUUGAGAGGCUGCUUGUUUUGUGACAGGCUCUUCUUGGGCACACAUGGGUUAUGUUUACUAUCCACACCAUAUAAUGUUAAAGAAUGUAUAUAUUGGCCUUGUGCCUUUAAAUCAUAAUACAACUUUCAACAACGGAUCUCUUGGCUCUCGCAUCGAUGAAGAACGCAGCGAAAUGCGAUAAGUAAUGUGAAUUGCAGAAUUCAGUGAAUCAUCGAAUCUUUGAACGCACCUUGCGCUCCUUGGCAUUCCGAGGAGCAUGCCUGUUUGAGUGUCAUUAAAUUCUCAAUUACAUGCAAUUUGCAUUGUAUUGUAAUUGGAUUCUGGGGGUUUGCUGGCUUGUUCAGCUCCUCUGAAAAGCAUUAGCAGGGCUAUAUUGCCAUCUGUGCUUUGUAUGAUAUGUAUCUAUACAUUGUGCUGGUUGUGCAUAUCUGCUUCAAACUGUCAUUCUUGACAU
rnacentral:rRNA from 1 species